UACGGAGGGUGCAAGCGUUGUUCGGAAUUACUGGGCGUAAAGCGCGUGUAGGCGGUUUGUUAAGUCGGAUGUGAAAGCCCCCGGGCUCAACCUGGGAAUGGCCGUUGAAACUGGCGAACUGGAGUGUGGCAGAGGGGGGUGGAAUUCCGCGUGUAGCAGUGAAAUGCGUAGAGAUGCGGAGGAACACCGAUGGCGAAGGCAGCCCCCCUGGGCUGACACUGACGCUCAGGCACGAAAGCGUGGGGAGCAAACAGG
rnacentral:rRNA from 1 species